GGGUUGUGAGGUUAAGCGACUAAGCGUACACGGUGGAUGCCCUGGCAGUCAGAGGCGAUGAAGGGCGUGCUAAUCUGCGAUAAGCGCCGGUAAGGUGAUAUGAACCGUUAUAACCGGCGAUACCCGAAUGGGGAAACCCAGUGUGAUUCGUCACACUAUCAUUACGUGAAUACAUAGCGUAAUGAAGCGAACCGGGGGAACUGAAACAUCUAAGUACCCCGAGGAAAAGAAAUCAACCGAGAUUCCCCCAGUAGCGGCGAGCGAACGGGGAGGAGCCCAGAGCCUGAAUCAGCAUGUGUGUUAGUGGAAGCGUCUGGAAAGGCGCGCGAUACAGGGUGACAGCCCCGUACACAAAAGCGCAUGUGUUGUGAGCUCGAUGAGUAGGGCGGGACACGUGGUAUCCUGUCUGAAUAUGGGGGGACCAUCCUCCAAGGCUAAAUACUCCUGACUGACCGAUAGUGAACCAGUACCGUGAGGGAAAGGCGAAAAGAACCCCGGCGAGGGGAGUGAAAAAGAACCUGAAACCGUGUACGUACAAGCAGUGGGAGCACCCUUUGGGGUGUGACUGCGUACCUUUUGUAUAAUGGGUCAGCGACUUAUAUUCUGUAGCAAGGUUAACCGAAUAGGGGAGCCGGAGGGAAACCGAGUCUUAAUUGGGCGUUAAGUUGCAGGGUAUAGACCCGAAACCCGGUGAUCUAGCCAUGGGCAGGUUGAAGGUUGGGUAACACUAACUGGAGGACCGAACCGACUAAUGUUGAAAAAUUAGCGGAUGACCUGUGGCUGGGGGUGAAAGGCCAAUCAAACCGGGAGAUAGCUGGUUCUCCCCGAAAGCUAUUUAGGUAGCGCCUCGUGAACUCAUCUCCGGGGGUAGAGCACUGUUUCGGCUAGGGGGCCAUCCCGGCUUACCAACCCGAUGCAAACUGCGAAUACCGGAGAAUGUUAUCACGGGAGACACACGGCGGGUGCUAACGUCCGUCGUGAAGAGGGAAACAACCCAGACCGCCAGCUAAGGUCCCAAAGUCAUGGUUAAGUGGGAAACGAUGUGGGAAGGCCCAGACAGCCAGGAUGUUGGCUUAGAAGCAGCCAUCAUUUAAAGAAAGCGUAAUAGCUCACUGGUCGAGUCGGCCUGCGCGGAAGAUGUAACGGGGCUAAACUAUGCACCGAAGCUGCGGCAGCGACACUAUGUGU
rnacentral:rRNA from 1 species